GCCGGGCGUGGUGGCUCACGCCUGUAAUCCCAGCACUCGGGGAGGCCGAGACGGGUGGAUCACCUUAGGUCAGGAGUUCGAGACCAGCCUGACCAACAUGGUGAAACCCCGUCUUUA
ensembl:misc_RNA Metazoa_SRP Metazoan signal recognition particle RNA